GGUAUCCACCAUAACAACAGGAGGACACCAUUACCAGGAUACAGGGUAUCCAUUAUGACAACAGGACAACAUCUGACUAAUGAUUAUUGAUUGGAGCAGCCGUGAUUUUACAAAAAGACUCCUUGGUUUGCAUCAAGAAGUCCAGGAAGCAAGGAUCAACUGUAGUCAGUGAUAGAAGAAAGGAUUUAGCAGGAGACAGUACCCAUCCUAAGAUUUAGCAGAGUGUAUCACUUGCCAGUAGCUGAAAUUGACUUGUACGUCAAUCCUACAGGAAGAAGGUUAGGCUUGGCUGGUUCCCAGGUUUUAGAGAUGGCAGUAUUAUGCU